rnacentral:sRNA from 1 species
GCCGGGUACAGUGGUGCAUGCCUGUAAUCCCAACAGCUUGGGAAGCUGAGGCAGGAGGAUGGCAAGUUCAAACCAGCCUCAGCAAAAGCGAGGUGCUAAGGAACUCAGUGAGACCCUGUCUCUA